CGUAGGGGCGAGCGUUGUCCGGAAUUAUUGGGGCGUAAAGCGCGCGCAGGCGGUCUUUAAGUCUGAUGUGAAAUCUUACGGCUUAACCGUAAGCGGUCAUUGGAAACUGGGAGACUUGAGUGCAGAAGAGGAGAGUGGAAUUCCACGUGUAGCGGUGAAAUGCGUAGAGAUGUGGAGGAACACCAGUGGCGAAGGCGACUCUCUGGUCUGUAACUGACGCUGAGGUGCGAAAGCGUGGGUAGCGAACAGGAUU
rnacentral:rRNA from 1 species